GAUGAACGCUGGCGGCGUGCCUAACACAUGCAAGUCGAGCGAUUCUCUUCGGAGAAGAGCGGCGGACGGGUGAGUAACGCGAAGGUAACCUGCCCUGUACACACGGAUAACAUACCGAAAGGUAUGCUAAUACGAGAUAAUAUGCUUUUAUCGCAUGGUAGAAGUAUCAAAGCUCCGGCGGUACAGGAUGGACCCGCGUCUGAUUAGCUCGUUGGUAAGGUAACGGCUUACCAAGGCGACGAUCAGUAGCCGACCUGAGAGGGUGAUCGGCCACAUUGGAACUGAGACACGGUCCAAACUCCUACGGGAGGCAGCAGUGGGGAAUAUUGCACAAUGGGCGAAAGCCUGAUGCAGCAACGCCGCGUGAGCGAUGAAGGCCUUCGGGUCGUAAAGCUCUGUCCUCAAGGAAGAUAAUGACGGUACUUGAGGAGGAAGCCCCGGCUAACUACGUGCCAGCCGCCGCAGUAA
rnacentral:rRNA from 1 species